rnacentral:rRNA from 1 species
UCAUUUAGAGGAAGGAGAAGUCGUAACAAGGUUUCCGUAGGUGAACCUGCGGAAGGAUCAUUGUCGAAACCUGCAAAGCAGACCGCGAACACGUUAACAACGACGCGCGCGGCGCGGCGAGGGGGCGACCUCUGGCCGGGCCGUGAGCAAACCCCCGCCGGCGCGCUCCUCCGGGAGAACGCCGUGCGGGCUAACGAACCCCGGCGCGGAAUGCGCCAAGGAAAACUGAAACGAAGCGUCCGCUCCCUCGCGCCCCGUUUGCGGAGCGCGCGGGGGGACCGGCCGUCUAUCUAAAUGUCAUAACGACUCUCGGCAACGGAUAUCUCGGCUCUCGCAUCGAUGAAGAACGUAGCGAAAUGCGAUACUUGGUGUGAAUUGCAGAAUCCCGUGAACCAUCGAGUCUUUGAACGCAAGUUGCGCCCGAAGCCGUCAGGCCGAGGGCACGUCUGCCUGGGCGUCACGCAUCGCGUCGCCCCCCCUCCCAGCGCACUGCGCCGGCGAGGCGGGGCGGAUAUUGGCCCCCCGUGCGCCCCGGCGCGCGGCCGGCCCAAAUACGAUCCCCCGGCGACUCGUGUCGCGACAAGUGGUGGUUGAACUCCUCAAUCUCGCAGCGUCGCGCUCCUGCGUCGUCCGGACGGGCAUCUAGAACGACCCAACGGUGCCUGGCACCUUCGACCGCGACCCC